AAGUCGUAACAAGGUUUCCGUAGGUGAACCUGCGGAAGGAUCAUUAACAUAAUUGUAUAGUGGAGUCAUGCAAAUGAUUCUGCUAUAUUCAUUAUAAAAACCAAAAUUUACCAAUCCGUGAACUAUAAAAAAACAUGAAGGCUGAUUUAUUAAAUUAACGAAUGUAACAAUUUGUUAGUCUUGAGUCAGAGUGAAUACCAAUUCCACCCAUUUUUUAACUAUAUUAACCCAUUACCGUAAUGUUGUUAACUCAGCAUACUAAAAUCUUUCUUUUUGUUGCGGAUAUUCGUAUACCAAUGAUAUUGAAGCUGAUAAAAGAAAAACCAUUAUAUUACAUAAUAAAGAAAUACAACUCUUAACAAUGGAUAUCUUGGCUCUC
rnacentral:misc_RNA from 1 species